AGAUUUUGAUAAAAAUGUUGGUUUGAGAGUAAGGUAAAUGGUCGGUGUGAUUAUGAUGUUUGUUAGUAUUAAGAGUUGUGGCCUUAGUGAAGUAUUGCGAGAAGUAUGUAGGGUUUUGAUAAAUUGAGUAUGUGUGCAGUUAUAAUAGGGACUAGAUUGGUGAUUGUGGGUAGCUAGAAAAUCAAAGCGAUAGAGUUAGAUGAAUGAAAAUGUUUGAUAUAGGCACUAUGGAAGGAAUAUCUAGAUUUAUUCGACUUUGGUUCUGUAUAUUCUUAUGUGACCAAC
rnacentral:lncRNA from 1 species